rnacentral:RNase_P_RNA from 1 species
UCAGAGGAUCGGGCGAUCGCCGCCGCGCCAGAAGCGAUUUUGGGGCGGGGGAGGAAAGUCCGGGCUCCACGGAACACGGUGCCGGGUAACACCCGGCGGGGGCGACCCCAGGGACAGUGCCACAGAAAACAAACCGCCGAUGGCCCCGGACUUGAUCCGGGGGACAGGCAAGGGUGAAACGGUGCGGUAAAAGCGCACCGCGCGACGGGCAACCGGAGCGGCAGGGCAAACCCCAUCGGGAGCAAGACCAAAUAGGCGCACGAGUGGAGCUUGCCUCCACGGGACGGGAACCGGUCCUUCCGCUGCGCGGGUUGGUUGCUUGAGGCUGUCGGCAACGGCAGUCCUAGAGGAAUGAUCGUCGCUGUUCUCGGACAGUACAGAACCCGGCUUACAGAUCCUCUGAUCGC